ACAGAGGGGGCAAGCGUUGUUCGGAAUUACUGGGCGUAAAGGGCGCGUAGGCGGCCGCCUAAGUCAGACGUGAAAUCCCUCGGCUCAACCGGGGAACUGCGUCUGAUACUGGGUGGCUUGAAUCCGGGAGAGGGAUGCGGAAUUCCAGGUGUAGCGGUGAAAUGCGUAGAUAUCUGGAGGAACACCGGUGGCGAAGGCGGCGCCCUGGCCGAACAUUGACGCUGAGACGCGAAAGCGCGGGGAGCGAACGGGA
rnacentral:rRNA from 1 species